ACUCCAGGCUUCAGGGCCGCAGUCCGGCAGUCCGGCUUGGAACAGACCGCAGACACCUGCAUCAUCAGCACUGAAGCUGCUUCCGGCUGAAGGAUGCAUAAUUAUAUCUAAAAGAGUGUGCCUGCUCUUCAUUCAUCACUUCUUGUCUUUACGCACCAGACUGAAAGGAGAUCCAGGAGGACAGGGUUAACAUGAUGAAGGAGACGAUGAAGGGAUUAUUUUGGUCAAACACAACCUUGUUCCAGAUUCCUGACCUUGUCCAGCCUGGCCUCAUCACUUGCUGUUUUAAGAGUUUGAAAGCUGCAGAUGUACAUUUCGCCUGCAGCAGCUGAAGAAAUUUGAAAACCACAAUACAGAAAAAUCAAAACUUGCCUGCCUGCCAAUGAAGGAAGCAGCCCCAUUGUCACACUGAUCAAAUUCCCCAGGCUGUGCAAAGGCUACUCCAUGCGGAGUGAUGUACAUGACAAUACAGAUCUUUGUGAAUGAUGACGGCCUGACUCAUUUCAGAACUCCAAUAAUACCCACACAUGGAAACGAGACACUUCAAUUCUAUACGAUUUCCUUCUUUGCUGUUUCAGGUGGCUGAUUACAGAGAUGACUCGCCGAGAAAAGCCG